rfam:Solanum tuberosum cultivar DM 1-3 516 R44 scf00365_7, whole genome shotgun sequence.
UUAUUUGCAGCUGCAACAUCAUCAAGAUUCACAUAAAAUAGAAAUAAUGUGGAGUAGAAAAAAAAAUAAAGUUGCUUCUAAAUUAUGUCUCCAUAUUAUUAUUUUUUUGAAAAUGAGAAUCUUGAUGAUGCUGCAUCGGCAAAUUA